rnacentral:rRNA from 1 species
GACGAACGCUGGCGGCGUGCUUAACACAUGCAAGUCGAACGGAAAGGCCCUGCUUUUGUGGGGUGCUCGAGUGGCGAACGGGUGAGUAACACGUGAGUAACCUGCCCUUGACUUUGGGAUAACUUCAGGAAACUGGGGCUAAUACCGGAUAGGAGCUCCUGCUGCAUGGUGGGGGUUGGAAAGUUUCGGCGGUUGGGGAUGGACUCGCGGCUUAUCAGCUUGUUGGUGGGGUAGUGGCUUACCAAGGCUUUGACGGGUAGCCGGCCUGAGAGGGUGACCGGCCACAUUGGGACUGAGAUACGGCCCAGACUCCUACGGGAGGCAGCAGUGGGGAAUAUUGCACAAUGGGCGGAAGCCGAAUGCAGCAACGCCGCGUGCGGAAUGACGGCCUUCGGGUUGUAAACCGCUUUCGCCUGUGACGAGGCGUGAGUGACGGUAAUGGUAAAGAAGCACCGGCUAACUACGUG